rnacentral:lncRNA from 1 species
CAGCGUUUGAUUAAUUGCUGAGGCUGACCUUGAACUUGAGAUCCUCCUCCCUCAACCUCAGGAGUCCCUGGGAUUAUAGGCAUAGAGUACCACACCCAUCUUAUAUUCCCUUUUUUAAUGCUCAUACAAUUCAGUAAAAUGUAUAUUACCACCUACAUUUUAAAGAUGAGGAAACUAAGGCUCAGAGAAGCCAGGUAAAUUACCAAUGGUCACAGAGACUGUUAGCAGGAAUAGAAACAGCCCUAGUCUGAUUGACUCUAAAUCCCAGAGUCUCCUCAGUAUGGUGCGCUGUCCAAUAUAAUCAUUCAGUAGUUCUAUUUACUGGGAAAGAUUUCCAAGUCCUUAUGGAGUAAAUACAUCAGCUAUUAAUGAGGUACUUUACCACUGAGCUACAUCCCCAGUCCUUUUCUUUUUGAGACAGGGUCUCAAUAAGUUGCUGAGGCUGGCCUUGAAUUAGUGAUAUCCUGCCUCAGCUUCCUAAGUCACUGAGAAUUAUAUCCUAGCUACAUCCUCAGCUCUUAUUAAUAAAUCUAAGUGGAAAACCUAAGCUCUUGCGGGGGUGACCAGUUUAGAUCUCCAAGUAUCUUUCUUUCCUGGGCAGAAGAGUUAACAUGGAGAAGGAAUUAACAAAUGCACAAAGCUGGGAUGCUGCUUAGUAGUAAUGUGUUUGCCUAGCAUGGUCAAGGCCCUGAGUUCCAUCUCCAGCACAGCAAAAAACAAAAAGUGCACACAGCUCAAAUAUAUUGUCCAAAUCUCAGGUGCCAUCAGUUCUGCAUGAGAAAGAAUUAGUUCAACCAUACUACAAAUUUUCAGGGUGCAGUUAAUGAAAUGGUUAGUGGAAAUUAUAAUUUACUUAAAUAUCAAAACAAAGCAUGUUAAAUUUAAUGAUCAAAAAUAUAUAUAAUGAUCAAAUGAAACUUUAUGGCAUUUGAAAAAGCCAGAACCCAGGAUAAGAUAUGCCAAAGGGACCAAAGAAUUAUGGAUUCUCAGCCCACUCAUAGGAGAGAAAAGGAUGGCAAAAAUGUAAAUAUAGCCAGAAAGUUCCAGGCAUCUAAUAUUCCCGUUUGACUUACUCUAGUGCAGGCAAAAAAGAAAGCUCAUAGUUUUCUCCAGUGUGAAUGAAUUUGCACCUAUUAAGAAUCUAUCCUAGCCAGGCACAGUGGUAUACACCUAUAAUCCCAGCAGCUGGGAAGGCUGAGGCAGGCACAUAGCAAGUUCAAAGCCAGCCUCAGCAACUUAGUGAGGCCCUAAGCAACUUAACAUAGACCCUGUCUCAAAAUAAAAUGUAAAAAAAGGCUAUUGAUGUGGCUCAGUGGUUAAGCACACCCAGGUUCAAUCUCCAGUACAAAAAAAAAUAAAAAUAAAAAUAAAUCUAUCCUAGAUUGUCUAGCAUGUGUGACAUCCUGGAUUUAAUCUCAGCACCAUAAAAGGUAACUAAUCUAACGUGGAGCAGCAGGUGUAGCACUUCAUACAUGCUUGGCAUAUAUGAAGCCCCUGAAGUCAACCCCCAGAACCAAAAGAAAAGACUUCCAAAUCACUCCUUCUGGCUGAUUCCAUCCCUUCUUCUCUCUGUCUGUCUCCGUCUCUCUCUCUCUCACACACACACACACACACUUUAAAACCAUAAUGCUCUUAUCCCCGUUUUACUUUACACUAGUUCUCUUUCUUUUGCUACCCCAGGACAGUAUAUAUCCUAUGAUUCCCAGUAGUUAGGUUCUCCCUCUCUAACCUAAAUCCAUCCUUUUCCAACCCUUCAAGAGAAUCUGACCCCAUGGAAAGGUUCUAAGAUUCCAUAAAAAUACACCCCAACCCCUAAGGCAUCUGCUACUUCCUUCCCCAUACCACCAAUGGUAAAAUAACAACAAAAAACACCUUCUCUCCUCACUGCUGAGGUCAUUCACUUCAACCCAUUUCCCUAAAUACUAUUUCUAAUGCCUCAUGUAGAGACCUGAAAAUGAUGGGAAAGCAAACACCCCAGGCAUACCAGCAGGGGACCGGCUCCUAUGGCAAAACCAGGAUAUCAAAAGACAAUUGCUUAAUACCCAAUCUUUCUGAAUUAUUACCCUGAAUUUCCCAGGGGAAAAGAGUCCCAUAUGCUUUCUCAGGUCCUCUAAUGCCUGGUUGUAGAGCCAGUUCACAGGCUGGAGCCCUUGUCAUCACCACCAUUUCCUUAACUUUUUUCUUCUUCCACUUAUAAGUUAGUGAGUGCAGUCAGGCUGCUGUGUUGUCCUGGGCACUGAACUGCCAACCUCUUGGUGUUACUGUCCUGUCCACUGCACUGGUCUGUGUAGCAGCUCCCUGUUCAGUGUCACUCAUAAGAACCAUUACCACUUACCCUCCCUCCUGGGUCACCACUGGAACAUGGAGCAGAGAACCAAGUCCACCUGCUUCUAUAGCCAAGUCC